AAAGGACUUUGAAAAU
rnacentral:sRNA from 1 species